rnacentral:rRNA from 1 species
AUACGUAGGGUGCAAGCGUUAAUCGGAAUUACUGGGCGUAAAGCGUGCGCAGGCGGUUUUGUAAGACAGUGGUGAAAUCCCCGGGCUCAACCUGGGAACUGCCAUUGUGACUGCAAGGCUGGAGUGCGGCAGAGGGGGAUGGAAUUCCGCGUGUAGCAGUGAAAUGCGUAGAUAUGCGGAGGAACACCGAUGGCGAAGGCAAUCCCCUGGGCCUGCACUGACGCUCAUGCACGAAAGCGUGGGGAGCAAACAGGAUUAGAUACCCUGGUAGUCCACGCCCUAAACGAUGUCAACUGGUUGUUGGGUCUUCAUUGACUCAGUAACGAAGCUAACGCGUGAAGUUGACCGCCUGGGGAGUACGGCCGCAAGGUUGAAACUCAAAUGAAUUGACGGGG